GACGAACGCUGGCGGCGUGCUUAACACAUGCAAGUCGAACGAAGUGGCGAACGGGUGAGUAACGCGUAAUCCACCUGCCCUUCAGAGGGGGACAACAGUUGGAAACGACUGCUAAUACCGCAUACUGAAGGAGGGGAUUGCGUCGGAUUGGAUCGUUGGAGUGGUAACGGCACACCAAGGCGAUGAUCAGUAGCCGGUCUGAGAGGAUGACAGGACACAUUGGGACUGAGACACGGCCCAGACUCCGACGGGAGGCAGCAGUGGGGAAGAUUACGCAAGGUACGAAAGUCGGACGGAGCAACGCGGCGUGAGUGAUGACGGCCUUUGGGUUGUAAAGCUCUGUUAAUCGGGACGCGGUACCGGAAUAGAAAGCCACGGCUAACUACGUGCCAGCAGCCGCGGUAAUAC
rnacentral:rRNA from 1 species